rnacentral:rRNA from 1 species
GAGAGUUAAACAGUACGUGAAAUUGUUGAAAGGGAAACGAUUGAAGUCAGUCAUACUAACGGGAAAUCAACCUCUUGAGUUUGGUCUCGUGGGUUUCGAAGAGUUUUAAAAGCCUUCGGAUUUUCGAGAUUGGGCUCUUCUGGUGUACUUUCUCGUACGGUUAGUCAACAUCGGUUUUGAAUGUCAUAAAAUGACUGGAGGAAUGUGGCUUCGAUCUCGUAUUGAAGUGUUAUAACCUUUGGUAGAUGUGAUGUUUGAGACCGAGGAUUGCAACGGAUACCCUUCUGGGCUAUUCGUCUGAUCUCUGAAACGUUGCCUUGAUGUCGAAAGCUUGCUUAUGAUGCUAGGGUAAUACGGUCAAAAGGUUAGAACGGAUUAAAUUCGUUAAGGAUGUUGACGUAAUGACUUUAAACGA